rnacentral:tRNA from 1 species
GGGGCGGUCUGCUAAUGGUAAGCAUAAGAAAGUAGCUCAGGUGAAAUUGGAGUAUGUGGGUUCGACCCCCACUCGCCCCU